GACGAACGUUGGCGGCGUGCUUAAUACAUGCAAGUCAACUGAAGCAGUGUUGCAAUUUUCCUGUUGAGGUUGCCCCCGGGUGAGUUACCCGUUGGUAAUCUUCCUUCCGGUUUUGCCUAACCCCCGGGAACCGGGGCUUAUUGCCAGUGAUUCAGCCGCCCCACCACGGGGCCGUUGUUAAAGCCAUGGCCCCUGGAGAUGAGCCUGCGUCUGAUUAGCUAGUUGGCGGGGUAACGGCCCACCAAGGCAACGAUCAGUAGCUGGUCUGAGAGGAUGAUCAGCCACACUGGAACUGAGACACGGUCCAGACUCCUACGGGAGGCAGCAGUAAGGAAUAUUGCUCAAUGGGAGAAAUCCUGAAGCAGCAACGCCGCGUGAGGGACGAAGGGCUUUUGCUUGUAAACCUCUGUAGUGAGAGAAAAAAAUCCCAAUCUUUGGGACAUGAUGGUAUCUCAAAAGUAAGCCCCGGCUAACUACGUG
rnacentral:rRNA from 1 species